CCUACGGGAGGCAGCAGUGAGGAAUAUUGGUCAAUGGGCUUACGCCUGAACCAGCCAAGUCGCGUGAAGGAAGAAGGCUUUCGGGUUGUAAACUUCUUUUCGCAGGGACGAAACAAGUGACGGUACCUGAGGAAUAAGCCACGGCUAACUACGUGCCAGCAGCCGCGGUAAUACGUAGGGGGCAAGCGUUAUCCGGAUUUACUGGGUGUAAAGGGCGUGUAGGCGGGAAUGCAAGUCAGAUGUGAAAAGCACGGGCCCAACCUGUGGCCUGCAUUUGAAACUGUAGUUCUUGAGUGCUGGAGAGGCAGACGGAAUUCCUAGUGUAGCGGUGAAAUGCGUAGAUAUUAGGAGGAACACCAGUGGCGAAGGCGGUCUGCUGGACAGCAACUGACGCUGAGGCGCGAAAGCGUGGGGAGCAAACAGGAUUAGAUACCCGAGUAGUC
rnacentral:rRNA from 1 species